GAUGAAGAACGUAGCGAAAUGCGAUAAGUAAUGUGAAUUGCAGAAUUCAGUGAAUCAUCGAAUCUUUGAACGCACAUUGCGCCCGCCAGUAUUCUGGCGGGCAUGCCUGUUCGAGCGUCAUUACAACCCUCAGGCCCCCGGGCCUGGCGUUGGGGAUCGGCGGAAGCCCCCUGCGGGCACAACGCCGUCCCCCAAAUAAAGUGGCGGUCCCGCCGCAGCUUCCAUUGCGUAGUAGCUAACACCUCGCAACUGGAGAGCGGCGCGGCCACGCCGUAAAACACCCAACUUCUGAAUGUUGACCUCGAAUCAGGUAGGAAUACCCGCUGAACUUAAGCAUAUCAAUAAGCGGAGGA
rnacentral:misc_RNA from 1 species